rnacentral:rRNA from 1 species
GACGAACCGUGCGAACGUUGUUCGGAAUCACUGGGCUUAAAGGGCGCGUAGGCGGCUUGUAUAGUCGGAUGUGAAAUUCCUGGGCUUAACCUGGGGGCUGCAUACGAGACGUAUGGGCUUGAGUACGGGAGAGGGCAGUGGAAUUCCUAGUGUAGGAGUGAAAUCCGUAGAUAUUAGGAGGAACACCGGUGGCGAAGGCGGCUGCCUGGACCGAUACUGACGCUGAGACGCGAAAGCGUGGGGAGCAAACAGG